rnacentral:rRNA from 1 species
UACGGAGGGUGCAAGCGUUGCUCGGAAUUAUUGGGCGUAAAGGGCAGGUAGGUGGUCUUAUUUGUCUGGGGUGAAAGCCUUGAGCUUAACUCAAGAAGUGCCCCAGAAACGGUAAGACUAGAGUCCUGGAGAGGGUCGUGGAAUUCCCGGUGUAGCGGUGAAAUGCGUAGAGAUCGGGAGGAACAUCAGUUGCGAAGGCGGCUCUCUGGACCAGCACUGACACUGAGGCACGAAAGCGUGGGGAGCAAACAGG